GUGUGAUAGCCGUGGUGAUCUUUGUGACCGUGUCUGCAUUAGCCAUAAUGGCCCGAUUCCUCUACAGGAGGAAAUGCACAUGUCAGCACCAGGAAGUAAAAACAGUGAAACCUAAAGACAAUCCAGAGUUGCCAUUAAGAAUAAGUUUUAUAAGUAUUGCUUUUUUUUCCAACUGUGGUCCCCAAUUGGGCUUUUGUAUACACAGUACACAGAGCAGAUUUACAGUGUUUAAUUACCUAAAGCCAGAAUACACCAUAUAUACAAGACCAUCAUGAUACCAAUCAUCUGUGAUUGGGGUUUUAGGUUUUGUCAAGUCAAGUAGUAAUCUCCUCAGACACGCUUGGGAAGUACUUAAACUGUAAAAACCGGUACAGUGUAUAUACAGUCUGGAUUAUUUACAGCCAUCUGUAAUCUGUAAAUCUCAUGGGAGUUUAGCAAUAUAAACUCACUUCUGUAAAAAAAAACCCCACACAUCAUCAUAAAUAGCAUCAUCGUUGACUUUGUGUUUGUGUUCCUGCACUGCAAGAAUCUGCUGUUGACAGACUCGAGAUCCUGCUGUGACCCGUGUCAGCUGAUCAGCGCUGUUAUAGAAACCUCGCUGACAGCAUGCAGAUCUCCUGUGCUUGCACACCAACAGUGAAGUCAUCGGGGUCAGCAGCACGCAGGCCACAGGCAGGACUGCUCAGGCGAGACAAAUUUUGUGUGUGAUGAUUUUGUGGCUGAAGAAGUCAACGGGGACACAAUGAGACGGGGACCACGAGAAUCAUAGGAACAGCUGCUGCUUCUUUUUCUUUUUUAAGCCUCCACCGCACUAGUGACCACAGCAGGGUUAUCAGUCCUUCCUCGCUUUUUUUAACUUCUGUGGCUUUUUAUGAAUUGUGUGAUUGCAGCACCCGUGGGACAAAUCGCACACCGGCUCCCACUGAUGUCCAUUCUUCACAUUAGUGCUGACAGCCAUAACGCCACCAUGUGGCCACUUAGCGCAUGCAAAAUUAUGUAGUGGUUACAACCUGCAGAUCACAACCGCGUCAUUUGCGAACUACUAGUUUAUCAUUAAUCUGUUUUUUUCUUGCACAAUGCUCAGUCUUUUGGCACAACCCACUGUCAUUGUUUGUUUUGCACAACCACCAUCAUUGUUACACUUUCUAUUGCAAUGUUGUGUCUUCACUGUCUUGUGUCUAUAUCGAUUUGCUCUGUCUGGUGUUGCACUGUUCUUGUUUUGGGUUUUUUUUUUGCAAUUUUUGCACACUUGCACUUUAUGUAGUCCUGUGUUACCGACAUAUGUUAUAUGUAGCACCAUGGUCUUGGAGGAGCAUUGUCUCGCUUCACUGUGUACUGUACUGCACAUGGUUGAAAUGACAAUAAAGGCACUUGACUUGACUUGAUCUCUUGACAGGUUGUCAGCUAACUGGAAGGUAAAUGGCUCUUCCAGGCCGUUAGUCAUAUCAUUUGUGUCUAGUGUCAAAUAA
rnacentral:lncRNA from 1 species